rnacentral:rRNA from 1 species
UGGGGAAUCUUGCGCAAUGGGCGAAAGCCUGACCCAGCAACGCCGCGUGAAGGAUGAAGUAUUUCGGUAUGUAAACUUCGAAAGAAUAGGAAGAAUAAAUGACGGUACUAUUUAUAAGGUCCGGCUAACUACGUGCCAGCAGCCGCGGUAAUACGUAGGGACCAAGCGUUGUUCGGAUUUACUGGGCGUAAAGGGCGCGUAGGCGGCUUGACAAGUCACUUGUGAAAUCUCUGGGCUUAACCCAGAACGGCCAAGUGAAACUGUCAUGCUAGAGUGCAGAAGGGGCAAUCGGAAUUCUUGGUGUAGCGGUGAAAUGCGUAGAUAUCAAGAGGAACACCUGAGGUGAAGACGGGUUGCUGGGCUGACACUGACGCUGAGGCGCGAAAGCCAGGGGAGCAAACGGGAUUAGAUACCCCAGUAGUCCCUGAGCGGGCUGGCAAGGCGCAU